rnacentral:lncRNA from 1 species
UGAACGCCGGGUGAGCUACCCGGAUGGCUCUUCCGGUUCUUUGUGCGGCCUUCACCCAGUGAGGGAGCCUGUGCCCCCUGCCCAGUCGCUUUCGGGGCGCUGAGGAGCUUCCGCUGCCAUCUUCGGAUGCUGUGUCCCGCACGGAGGGUCCACCAGGGCAGGGAUAGUGGUUCAAACAAUACAGAAGUGUAUAAAGUAAGAAUUGAAAGUCUCUUCGCUGCUCUAAUCUCACUCCUCAGAGGUGAUCACUGAUUAUCAUCCCAGAGCCCUCCCUGAAGCCCACACACAGCUUCUUCAGGAAAUGCUGACAGCAUGGACCUGAGUGAGCAGAAGGCUUUUCAGAAUUACAGCCUGAACUAUUUCUUGAGCAAUUUGGGAACUCAUUUCUAAAGCAGUCCUCAGAUUCACACAACGUAGUUUGUGACGGAGUAUGCCCAGAGCAGCUGUCUUGUUGAUGGGGGUGCACCCUGACGAAUGGUGUGCUGGCAAAGAUUUAACAAAAGGCUCCAGAGGAGGGCAGACUUGAAGUGGAGCCUUCAGUGGGCAGUGUGAAGGGUGCUGAUUUCAAACAACUCAUCUGGUAUGACUGAACAUGAAGUUGGGAAGAGAUGUGCAUAAUUGAAGUGGGUGAGAGCCAGUCCAGCACCCUGCAGAGAGUGUGGAAGAUGAUCAAAGUAUGACAUUUCUUCUACCCCAGAGGCUGGCAUUUCUGCAGGCACAAAUGAGCUUGGUUUUCAAGCACUGCUCUUUGAACACAAGGAAUUCCUUUAAUGAUCACGCCGGACUAUAUAGACUUUGGAAUCAGACUCUUUGAAUUCCAGCUCUGCCAUUUACCAACUUUGACACUUUGGACAACGUCUCAUUCUGUCACCCAGGCUGGAGUGCAGUGGCACAAUUAUAGCUCACUGCAGCCUCAAACACCUGGGCUCAAGCAAUCCUUCCACCUCUGCCUCCUGAGUAAUUGGGACUACAGGGUUUUGGAAAUCUGGAUUGUAGCAGGGCAUUGUAAGUUAAAAAAUCAUCUUCCCAUUCUGUUCUUUGCAAAGAUAUUUCUGUUCCUUAAAUUUGUUGAGGGUAAGAGAUUGCAGAUUGCUUCUGUGGACUUCUUGAAGGUGGAUCUGCCUGUUGGUGGAGAACCCUAGACUGCAUGCAGCCAUGCACAUGAUCUGGAGACACAGCAGGUCAUCCUCAGCAUUUAUACUCUCUCUCCUUUUGUGCCCCCAUGGACCAAGUUAAGAAGGUGUAGGCUUCAAAUCUUAAGAUCGGUCACCACAAAAUUCAAAAAGACAAGGUCUUUGUCUGUUGCUCAGGAUGGAGUGUAGUGGUGCCAUAGCACACUGUAAUCUUGAAUUUCUGGACUACUGGCAUACACCACCAUGCUUAGGUUCGGGCCACAACAUCCGUGACUUUACCGGUUUUGGUCUCUUCCUUGUAACUUUCGGCUCCAGGAUGCUGCGCAGCUCCUCUCUGCACUAUCUAUCAGAACGUUGCUCUGCGUGCUUGAAAGUUUCGCCAAACAGAAGUACACAAAAACAAACAGAGGCGAAACACAAAUCCCCUCAGCCCUGGAGGAAAAGGCCUUGAAGCUCUUCCAGUGCAGAGGCCACGCAGAGGACAUGCUCCUACCUGUGCACAUCGGCCACGCCUGGGGUGCCUCCUGGAGUCCAGGCUGCUGGCGAUGGAAUCCAUCAUGUUGCUGAUGUCACUACUCUCAACUCCUGAUGGCAUCAGAACACAGGCAGCAUCAAGAUCAGGCUCAAGAUGCAGGAUUUUAUCAUCCAAAUCAGGCCCACAUAUGGAUGAAACCCUUCAGGUAUUCUGCACAUCUCUCAGGAAACCCAGAUGAAAUUGAGUGCCUGCUGCCCACAUCAGCAACCCAGACAUCCCACUUGAUUCUGCUUCUGGAGCCUAAGAUGGGAAAAUGGCAGGUGUCGCAGGUUGCAGGGGAAGGUCGGAGACCAGUUGAGGGCCCCGGAGUCUGUCUGGAAAGAGUUUUCCAUCCAGCCCGUCUCGGUUUCCGCAUCCGUGUGAGUCCUUUAUGACGUCGGGAAUGCCAAGGUCUGAGUCCUUUAUGAUGUUCAGGGUGCCCCGGUCUCACCCCGGGAGCCUCCUCGCUCCGGCCUGCUCCUGGCUACCCGGUGGGCGGCUCUGGCCCCAGCGACCCGCUACUGUUUCUCCAUGCGCUGCCACUUCGCAAAGGCACAUCUCUAGGUCAGUGGUCAGCUGCAGCCAGGGCGCUGCAACUCGCUCCAGGACUCGGGAAUCAGGGCCUUGGUGGGCCUCGCAGAGUGCUGGGUGUGUCGCCUGCGGGCUCCUCUUUUGGAGAAAGGAGGGAGGGAAAGGCCUUGUGAGACGACUCCAGGAGCGACCAGCGACCCCCACAAGGCCCAAGUCCUCCCAGCGCACUCAGAAACAGUCACUUAAAUGGCAAUAAGGUUGAGAAAGACUCUCCCGUGCCCCCGUGCUGGUGUAGUGGCUGUGAUUCAGUCCUUUCACCACCGCAUCCCGGGUUCGAUUACCGGUCAGGGAGUUGUUUUGCACUGACUGCCCACCCGCAGUAAUCUUUCUUUACUCCGCUGUCAGCCGGCCUGCUCCAAGAGCCAGAGGCAGAAGAGUCUCCCUGCAAGGUGCAAACCCUGGCGAAGGAGGGCAAGUCCUGGUGGACGGCCUCUCAUGACACACCCUCUUAUUUAUCUCCGUGUCCACCAUUCGCAGAAGGGGCUUUAGAGAGCGACUGAGCGUCUCGCUCAGGUGUACACCACCGUGCAGAGAUGGCAGCUCUCCUGGAGGUGUACCCAAGAAGCCCACCAUCUUUGCCGCCUCCGCCAUCCCAGAGGCGCCGAUUGGGCUGAGCUGCAAAUAACUAAGAGAGAGAGAGGCCAAGCCAAGUCGUGGCGUUUGUGUGCGGCACACGUCGUCAGCUGACACAGGCGGUCAGCUGAGCCUCCUCACCUCAGUUCGCAGCUAACAUGCUUCUUAGGCCUUCGGAAGAGGCGACAGGAGGCGAUGGCCGCGAGGUUGGGAGGGGGGUGAGCGGCGGGUGAGGUCCUCCAGGACCGCCCAUUUAUUGACUGGGUGGUACAGGAGGGCGAUGUUCGCUUACCCAACAACGACAGCAGGUGGAGUAGGCACUAAUGGAAAACUGUGGCCGGUGCCCUAAGCAGAAGGCAGGUGUAAAAAUCACUAGGACAUCAAAGGGAUAGUACCACAGUCAAAUCCCGCAAUGUCUGUCUACACUCUACCAAGCAAUUGUGCACCCUCCCCCUUUUCCAUUCAGUACUCCCAAGAAGGGUUGGGACGAACCCUGUGUCCACUGUAAAGCUCAGGGGAGAGCGGGAGCGAGGGAGGUGAAGUGCACAGACUGGGCAGAGGCGGCGGGCAGAACUGCGGGGGUGAGAGGGCGCGGUGGCUGCGGGGCGGGAGCCUCUGCUGAAAGGAGGCCUGGGUUGUCCUGUGGGUGACUGUUGGUGGAAUCUUUGGCAGCGAGUGGUUGGAAGAAUGGCGACGGGCGAGCAGAGGGGAAGGUGGUGACCCUGAGCGUCUGGCUAGGGGAGAGGAGGCUGUACUGACACUCGUCUCCUCUUACCUGGCGAGGGACAGACCGUGGUCAAGAAGGGAGCUCUCCCUGGUUGAGGCUAGUCCACCACACUCCAGCUGCUCUGACCCCUGCGAUUUCCCUACACGCGGGGCGCUUGUCUGCGGUGGUGUUUGCGCUACCCGGGGGCUGGGUUCACGCAGGCUCCUGACAGUCCUUGGCUCACCGCCCCCGACGCGGAUAUCGCCGCUAGAGACCCUUCCGCCACCCUCCUAGGGAUCUUGAGGGCCUUCCUUGUUGUUCCGACUGAAGCUCACGAACAGACAGAUGUGAGCUCUCUGUCUUUUACACGUUGAAUUUGGCUAUUGGCAAAAAAAGCCCUGACCCAGAGCUUGGGACUCCUCCCGGCCUGCACACGACUUCCCGACUCUUGCCUCCUAGCGCGGCUCUUGGCUAGCGGGCGGGCAGCCUCCACCCAGCGUAGAACCGCGGCAGCCGCAGCCCCCGCAGGCUGGCGGUCAGACACUAGCAGGAAAAGGGACACAAGGCCUGCGUGGUGGGAAAGCAUGGGAGACGUCGCUUUCCCACCAGGCGAGAAGGUCUCCCUACAGUCUUUGGACAGAAGAUGGAGGGAGGCACCCCUUCCAGGAGCAAGGCGGCUGCUCCUGAGGCCUGGCUCCGCACGGAGGCUCCUGGGUCCCGCGCGCCCUCUCCCUACCGGUUAUAGCCAGAGCUGCUUCACACAUCUCAGCCGGCUUCCUCUUCCGCCUCUGCCACCUCUUCCUCCCCAGCUCGUGGGAAAGACCUAGCCUCCUCUCCAACACUUGGAGAGGGAGUUGGAUGAACGUCUCCUAACCCCAGUAGGACAGAGAUCCUGAGGUAGGAGGGGACCCCUUGCCUUGCUGCUUCUUUUGGCACCGCUGACCCGGGCCCAGGACUCCUCGCUCCUCCUGGAAGGCCUGGGUCGUGUAGCCCACAGAGGUGGCCACGUGGGCAUCUCCCCCACUGCUCCUCAUAGAACCGGAGGCAUUAUCCUGCCGGGCCCACUCUUACCCAUGAAAGAAACUUGGGAAAUGCUCCCGGGGAAGCCGGGGAUCUGGGCGCUCGACCACUUCGGUGUGAAUCUUCCGUCCGCUCAUCCUUCCUUCGGAGGGUCUUGGGGAGAGGAGAAAUGCUCAAGGACGAUGCGCUUUGCAGCGUCUCAAGGGAAACUAGAUCUCAACGGAUACCAGAAGUCUGGAGCGUCUUCCUGGAGGAAGGCGGCCCGAGGCCUGCGGUUGCAGGGAGGCUUGCGGAGCACAGCGCCCUCUCUCAGCCUGAGCUAUCCAGUGGCUUCCAGCAUCCCAGCUGGCCGACUCCACUUCCUCUCUCUUCCUCCUACUGCGGGUCUUCUUCUUCUCUUUGGGGACCGAAUCUCGCUCUGUCGCCCAGGCUGGAGUGCAGUGGCGCGAUCUCGGCUUACUGCAACCUCCGCCUCCCGGGUUGAAGCGAUUCUCCUGCCUCAGCCUCCCGAAUAGCUGGGACUACAGGCGCGUGCCACCACGCCCGGCUAAUUUUUUGUAUUUUUAGUUGAGACGGGGUUUCACCCUGUUAGCCAGGAUGGUCUCGAUCUCCUGGCCUCUUGAUCCGCCCGCCUCGGCCUCCCAAAGUGCUGGGAUUACAGGCGUGAGCCUCCGCGCCCGGCCUACUGCGGCUCUUCUAUCCUGGUGUUCUUUGAAUGCCUAUCUUCCUUUUGUGCCACAGAACCUCUCACGCCCGCCACAGGUUGCUCAUUUCCUUGGUUGUUCUGAACUUUAAAUAAGUUAAUGUAUGUAAGAGUGCCAUAAAUGCUCAGUAAUUGACAUCUGUUAUUUUCAUCAGUAACAUCAUCUGAAUCAUCUGUAUUGUCUAUUUUUAACAACUGCAUUUUUCAUUGUCCAAAUAAAGUCACAUACAUUUGAACAUUAUAUAAUGAUUGAAUAAUAAAAUUAUUCUGCUAUUUUACAAUAAAAA